CUUGAAGCCCUUCUCCCCCGAAAAAGAAAAAGUGAAAGACAAACCCUACUUAUAUAAACGACUUUAGCAUCUCGCAUUUAUCAAGAGGGCUGUCCGUUUGGGAACCGGAGAAGAGCAAAAGAAGGCUCUGUAAUUCGCUUGAAGCGGCAUUUAAUGAAACAUGUGGAGUCGAAAACCUGAAUUCGAUAAUUUCAUGAUGUUUUAAUUGUAGUUUUCAAUCUGAAUUUCAUAUCAAAUUGCUGCUCGCAGAUCAUCGAUCCUUCUUCUCUCUCUCUCUCUCUCUCUCUCUCUCGUGGAUCUAGAAAUUUUCAAUCUUUCUGGGUCUUCGGUUUUCCAGACGCCGCCCUCCGAACCUGAUGAUGAUGCGAAUUAGCGCUGAAGGUUCAAUAUUAUCAUAAUUGGACGGACCACGUUUAUGAUUUUUCUUUCUUUAACAUUUGUUUUGCAUCUUCCCUUUUUUUUCGUGAAAAGCUUCAGUUUUUAAGAAUUUUUGUGUUUUACAAGUUCAAUAAUUAUUUACGUUAUCAACCAACACAGGAGUGGUAUAGAUUUGGGAUUGCCUUUUAUGAUUCAAUUUUAAUUCAAUAAUUAUUUUUACUGUUUUUUUUUCUGAAAACCUGGGUUUUAUAUUUUAUAUUUUAUUUUAUUUAGCCUAUUUGAUUAGAAUUUUUAAACAUAAACUUUGUAAAAAGUCAAAAAAUUUUCGAAUGCGUGGAUAAAAAGUAAAAACU
rnacentral:lncRNA from 1 species